UACGGAGGGGGCUAGCGUUGUUCGGAAUCACUGGGCGUAAAGCGCACGUAGGCGGCUUGUUAAGUCAGGGGUGAAAUCCUGGAGCUCAACUCCAGAACUGCCCUGGAUACUGGCAAGCUGGAGUGUAGGAGAGGUUGGUGGAACUGCGAGUGUAGAGGUGAAAUUCGUAGAUAUUCGCAAGAACACCAGUGGCGAAGGCGGCCAACUGGCCUAUUACUGACGCUGAGGUGCGAAAGCGUGGGGAGCAAACAGG
rnacentral:rRNA from 1 species